UACGUAGGGGGCAAGCGUUGUCCGGAUUUAUUGGGCGUAAAGAGCGUGUAGGCGGCUAGGUAGGUCCGUUGUGAAAACUCGAGGCUCAACCUCGAGACGCCGAUGGAAACCAUCUGGCUAGAGUCCGGAAGAGGAGAGUGGAAUUCCUGGUGUAGCGGUGAAAUGCGCAGAUAUCAGGAGGAAUACCGGUGGCGAAAGCGACUCUCUGGACGGCAACUGACGCUGAGGCACGAAAGCGUGGGGAGCAAACAGG
rnacentral:rRNA from 1 species